rnacentral:tRNA from 1 species
UUAAAGUGGCAGAGCUCAGUAAAUGCAAAAGAUCUAAACUCUUUCUACCAGAGGUUCAAAUCCUCUCUUUAAU